rnacentral:rRNA from 1 species
UACGGAGGGGGGCUAGCGUUGUUCGGAAUACUGGGCGUAAAGCGUGCGCAGGCGGUUUUGUAAGUCUGUCGUGAAAUCCCCGGGCUCAACCUGGGAAUUGCGAUGGAGACUGCAAGGCUAGAAUCUGGCAGAGGGGGGGUAGAAUUCCACGUGUAGCAGUGAAAUGCGUAGAGAUGUGGAGGAACACCGAUGGCGAAGGCAGCCCCCUGGGUCAAGAUUGACGCUCAUGCACGAAAGCGUGGGGAGCAAACAGG